CAAGUCGUGGGGCAGCAGGGGUAGCAAUACCCGCUGGCGACCGGCAAACGGGUGCGGAACACGUACACAACCUUCCUUAAAGUGGGGAAUAGCCCAGGGAAACUUGGAUUAAUACCCCGUAAUAUUAUUAGAUGGCAUCAUUUGAUAAUUAUAGCUCCGGCGCUUAAAGAUGGGUGUGCGGCUGAUUAGGUAGUUGGCGGGGUAACGGCCCACCAAGCCUACGAUCAGUAACUGGUGUGAGAGCACGACCAGUCACACGGGCACUGAGACACGGGCCCGACUCCUACGGGAGGCAGCAGUAAGGAAUAUUGGUCAAUGGACGCAAGUCUGAACCAGCCAUGCCGCGUGGAGGAUGAAGGUCCUCUGGAUUGUAAACUUCUUUUAUCUGGGAAGAAACCCAAGGUUUCUACUUUGGUUGACGGUACCAGAUGAAUAAGCACCGGCUAACUCCGUGCCAGCAGCCGCGGUAAUACGGAGGGUGCAAGCGUUAUCCGGAUUCACUGGGUUUAAAGGGUGCGUAGGUGGGCUAGUAAGUCAGUGGUGAAAUCUCCGGGCUUAACCCGGAAACUGCCAUUGAUACUAUUAGUCUUGAAUGUCGUGGAGGUAAGCGGAAUAUGUCAUGUAGCGGUGAAAUGCUUAGAUAUGACAUAGAACACCGAUAGCGUAGGCAGCUUGCUACACGAAUAUUGACACUGAGGCACGAAAGCGUGGGGAUCAAACAGGAUUAGAUACCCUGGUAGUCCACGCCCUAAACGAUGGAUACUCGACAUCAGCGAUACACUGUUGGUGUCUGAGCGAAAGCAUUAAGUAUCCCACCUGGGAAGUACGACCGCAAGGUUGAAACUCAAAGGAAUUGACGGGGGUCC
rnacentral:rRNA from 1 species